CCGUCCGCCCCGUGGGACGCCAUGUCCACCCCGGGGCAAGCACGGUUACGCUGACCCCGUGCACCCUCCACCGAGAGUGCAAAGCCGACAGCCGUCGCAUCCCAGGGAGCUCAUCCAUG
rnacentral:sRNA from 1 species